ACGGUCUUGCUGUCACUUAUAGAUGGACCCGCGCCGUAUUAGCUAGUUGGUGGGGUAACGGCCUACCAAGGCGACGAUACGUAGCCGACCUGAGAGGGUGAUCGGCCACACUGGAACUGAGACACGGUCCAGACUCCUACGGGAGGCAGCAGUAGGGAAUCUUCCGCAAUGGGCGAAAGCCUGACGGAGCAACGCCGCGUGAGUGAUGAAGGUCUUCGGAUCGUAAAGCUCUGUUGUUAGGGAAGAACAAAUGUGUAAGUAACUGUGCACAUCUUGACGGUACCUAACCAGAAAGCCACGGCUAACUACGUGCCAGCAGCCGCGGUAAUACGUAGGUGGCAAGCGUUAUCCGGAAUUAUUGGGCGUAAAGCGCGCGUAGGCGGUUUUUUAAGUCUGAUGUGAAAGCCCACGGCUCAACCGUGGAGGGUCAUUGGAAACUGGAAAACUUGAGUGCAGAAGAGGAAAGUGGAAUUCCAUGUGUAGCGGUGAAAUGCGCAGAGAUAUGGAGGAACACCAGUGGCGAAGGCGGCUUUCUGGUCUGCAACUGACGCUGAUGUGCGAAAGCGUGGGGAUCAAACAGGAUUAGAUACCCUGGUAGUCCACGCCGUAAACGAUGAGUGCUAAGUGUUAGGGGGUUUCCGCCCCUUAGUGCUGCAGCUAACGCAUUAAGCACUCCGCCUGGGGAGUACGGUCGCAAGACUGAAACUCAAAGGAAUUGACGGGGACCCGCACAAGCGGUGGAGCAUGUGGUUUAAUUCGAAGCAACGCGAAGAACCUUACCAAAUCUUGACAUCCUUUGACCGCUCUAGAGAUAGAGUUUUCCUCUUCGGAGGACAAAGUGACAGGUGGUGCAUGGUUGUCGUCAGCUCGUGUCGUGAGAUGUUGGGUUAAGUCCCGCAACGAGCGCAACCCUUGAACUUAGUUGCCAUCAUUCAGUUGGGCACUCUAAGUUGACUGCCGGUGACAAACCGGAGGAAGGUGGGGAUGACGUCAAAUCAUCAUGCCCCUUAUGAUUUGGGCUACACACGUGCUACAAUGGACAAUACAAAGGGCAGCGAAACCGCGAGGUCAAGCAAAUCCCAUAAAGUUGUUCUCAGUUCGGAUUGUAGUCUGCAACUCGACUACAUGAAGCUGGAAUCGCUAGUAAUCGUAGAUCAGCAUGCUACGGUGAAUACGUUCCCGGGUCUUGUACACACCGCCCGUCACACCACGAGAGUUUGUAACACCCGAAGCCGGUGGAGUAACCAUUUUGGAGCUAGCCGUCGAAGGUGGGACAAAUGAUUGGGGUGAAGUCGUAACAAGGUAGCCGUAUCGGAAGGUGCGGCUGGAUCACCUCCUUUCUA
rnacentral:rRNA from 1 species